rnacentral:rRNA from 1 species
AUUGAACGCUGGCGGCAGGCCUAACACAUGCAAGUCGAACGAGUGGCGGACGGGUGAGUAAUGUCUGGGAAACUGCCUGAUGGAGGGGGAUAACUACUGGAAACUGUAGCUAAUACCGCAUACCAUCGGAUGUGCCCAGAUGGGAUUAGCUAGGGGGUGGGGUAAAGGCUCACCUAGGCGACGAUCCCUAGCUGGGUUGAGAGGAUGACCACCCACCCUGGAACUGAGACACGGUCAAGCCUCCUACGGGAGGCAGCAUUGGGGAAUAUUGCCCAAUGGGCGCAAGCCUAAUGCGGCCAUGCCGCGUGUAUGAAGAAGGCCUUCGGGUUUUAAAGUACUUUCAGCGGGGAGGCGUUACCCGAAGAAGAAGCACCGGCUAACUCCGUGCCAGCAGCCGCGGUAAUAC